rnacentral:tRNA from 1 species
AGUAAAAUGGCUGAGGUUAAAGCGAUAAAUUGUAUAUUUAUUAACGAGAAUCUCUCUUUUACUA